rnacentral:rRNA from 1 species
UACAGAGGGGGCAAGCGUUAUUCGGAAUUACUGGGCGUAAAGCGCACGUAGGCGGCUUUGUAAGUUAGAGGUGAAAGCCCGGGGCUCAACUCCGGAAUUGCCUUUAAGACUGCAUCGCUAGAAUUGUGGAGAGGUAAGUGGAAUUCCGAGUGUAGAGGUGAAAUUCGUAGAUAUUCGGAAGAACACCGGUGGCGAAGGCGGGUCUCUGGGCAGUAACUGACGCUGAGGAGCGAAAGCGUGGGUAGCGAACAGG